CCUACGGGAGGCAGCAGUGGGGAAUAUUGCACAAUGGGCGAAAGCCUGAUGCAGCGACGCCGCGUGAGGGAUGACGGCCUUCGGGUUGUAAACCUCUUUCAGCAGGGACGAAGCGAAAGUGACGGUACCUGCAGAAGAAGCACCGGCUAACUACGUGCCAGCAGCCGCGGUAAUACGUAGGGUGCGGGCGUUGCCCGGAAUUAUUGGGCGUAAAGAGCUCGUAGGCGGUUUGUCGCGUCGGCCGUGAAAACUUGGGGCUUAACCCCGAGCCUGCGGUCGAUACGGGCAGACUUGAGUUCGGCAGGGGAGACUGGAAUUCCUGGUGUAGCGGUGAAAUGCGCAGAUAUCAGGAGGAACACCGGUGGCGAAGGCGGGUCUCUGGGCCGACACUGACGCUGAGGAGCGAAAGCGUGGGGAGCGAACAGGAUUAGAUACCCUGGUAGUCCACGCCGUAAACGGUGGGUGCUAGGUGUGGGGGACUUCCACGUCCUCUGUGCCGCAGCUAACGCAUUAAGCACCCCGCCUGGGGAGUACGGCCGCAAGGCUAAAACUCAAAGGAAUUGACGGGGGCCCGCACAAGCGGCGGAGCAUGUGGAUUAAUUCGAUGCAACGCGAAGAACCUUACCUGGGCUUGACAUGGACUAGAAAGCUCUAGAGAUAGAGCCUCCCUUGUGGCUGGUUCACAGGUGGUGCAUGGCUGUCGUCAGCUCGUGUCGUGAGAUGUUGGGUUAAGUCCCGCAACGAGCGCAACCCUCGUUCCAUGUUGCCAGCGCGUAAUGGCGGGGACUCAUGGGAGACUGCCGGGGUCAACUCGGAGGAAGGUGGGGAUGACGUCAAGUCAUCAUGCCCCUUAUGUCCAGGGCUUCACACAUGCUACAAUGGCCGGUACAAAGGGCUGCUAAGCCGUGAGUGAGCGAAUCCCAUAAAGCCGGUCUCAGUUCGGAUCGGGGUCUGCAACUCGACCCGUGAAGUCGAGUCGCUAGUAUCGCAGAUCAGCACGC
rnacentral:rRNA from 1 species